GCAUAUUUAAAAUAUUUAGAAAAUAAAUGUUACAAUAUUUUGAUAUCAUUUACUUAGUGAUCGAAAGGAUUCAAAAUCAACGGCUAAAAAUAAAAAUCUCACGAAAAGUGGUGAUAUAGUAAUAAAAUUUUCUAUCAGAGAUAUUGAUCUUGCUAUAGAUAGUAUAAAAAAUUUUCUAUUAAAAUUUUUUUUCUGAUUUGAAUACUUUUACACUGUUAAACUUAAAAACUAUUGAUUUUGAACCAUUUUGAUUACUAGAUAAAUGGUAUCGAAAAAUCGCAAAAUUUAUUUUCUAAAUACUUCAAAUAUGUUAGAUCAAGUCUAAUGGAGUGAAUCAUCAAUUCAAAAGUUCUAUUAUCGAAAAUGACUUAAGAGCACGGAGGCUAAGAGCACAGCAGCUCGCCCUAUUAUCUAUAUAUAGAGUCCAGUUGAGGUGCUUCUAUAAUAUCACCAAACACUUGAUGCUAUCAAGUUUUCACCAUUAUAUUUACCCCUUUGACCAUUUCUAUCCAUUAGAUUAUAUAUUCAACCAACCACCCGCUCAACCCUAGGGGACCACUAUUAUCCUAACCGCAUAUUCCGUCAUCCAAGGGUUGAAACCAAAUAGCACCAAUGACUUGGUGCUAUUAGAAACAUUCCAGCAUAAUUUUAUAUUUAUAUAUACACACACACAGAUACUAGUAGUAGUACUGCUGGAGAACUAUAUUUAUAUAAUAUGUAUAAUAUAUAAUAUAUAUUAUAAUUAGGCUAGUAUACUAUUAAUAGUAUCAAGCGCUUGGUGCUAUUAGGUUUUUAGCUCUUGAAUGAAGGGAUGUGCAGUUAGGAUGAUAAUGGUUCCUAGUUAGGAUACUCGUGGCCCUCUAGGGUUGAGUGGGUGAUUGAUAGAAUAAUAUGAUCUAAUAGGUGAAUAUGGUCAAAGGGGUAGAUCUAACGGCUAAAAACUUGAUAGUAGCAAACUCUUAGUACUAUCGAUAAUAU
rnacentral:lncRNA from 1 species